rnacentral:rRNA from 1 species
CCUACGGGUGGCUGCAGUAAGGAAUAUUGGUCAAUGGAGGAAACUCUGAACCAGCCAUCCCGCGUGAAGGAUGAAGGGGCUCUGCCUGGUAAACUUCUUUUGUCUGGGGCGAAAAAGCGCGAUUUAUCGAGAACUGACGGUACCAGAAGAAUAAGCACCGGCUAACUCCGUGCCAGCAGCCGCGGUAAUACGGAGGGUGCCGGAGUUAUCCGGAAUCACGGGGUUUAAGGCGGCUGUAGGCGUCAGUGGUGAAAGGCUGUGGCUUAACCAUGGAAUUGCCAUUGAUACUGCAGGGCUUGAGUGAGGUUGAGGUUGGCGGAAUGUGACAUGUAGCGGUGAAAUGCUUAGAUAUGUCAUGGAACACCGAUUGCGAAGGCAGCUGACUGGACCUAUAUUGACGCUGAGGCACGAAAGCGUGGGGAGCGAACAGGAUUAGAUACCCCAGUAGUC